CCAAGAUACUAAGGGCAAACGGUGGAUGCCUUGGCGCUGGAUGGCGAUGAAAGACGUGGUUAGCUGCGAUAAGCUUCGGCGAGCCGCUAAACAGGCAUUGAACCGAAGAUUUCUGAAUGGGGCAACCCAUCCCGGGUAAUUCCGGGAUAUCUGUCGCUGAAUACAUAGGCGGCAGAAGCGAACGAGGGGAACUGAAACAUCUNAGUACCCUUAGGAAAAGAAAGCAAUAGCGAUUCCCAAAGUAGCGGCGAGCGAAAUGGGAACAGCCCAAACCGAAUGUAUGUCAAGCCUGCAAGCGUUGUACAUUCGGGGUUGUGGGAUUCCGUUGGAGGUGUUUGCAGACACCUCGGCAAGUCACAAAUCCAAUUUAUAGUCGAACGAUCUGGAAAGGUCGGCCACAGAGGGUGAUAGUCCUGUAGACGAAAUGAAUUGGACUUGCUGGACGGAACACCCGAGUACCGUGGGACACGUGGAACCCUGCGGGAAUCCAGGAGGACCAUCUCCUAAGGCUAAAUACACGCCAGCGACCGAUAGUGAACUAGUACCGUGAGGGAAAGGUGAAAAGUACCCCGGUGAGGGGAGUGAAAUAGUACCUGAAACCGUUUGUCUACAAGCAGUGGGAGAACGUUUGGGAUCCUUCGGGAUUCCAUGUUCGACUGCGUACCUUUUGCAUAAUGGGUCAGCGACUUACUCUGUGUUGCAAGGUUAAGCCGUCAGGUGUAGCCGAAGCGAAAGCGAGUCUGAACAGGGCGUUCAGUAGCACGGAGUAGACCCGAAACCAGGUGAUCUAUCCAUGGGCAGGGUAAAGGUCGAGUAACAUCGACUGGAGGCCCGAACCGCAGAGGGUUGAAAACCUCCCGGAUGACCUGUGGAUAGGAGUGAAAGGCUAAUCAAACNUGGAGAUAGCUGGUUCUCCCCGAAAUAUAUUUAGGUAUAGCCUCACAAAUUAAGUGACGGGGGUAGAGCACUGGAUGGGCUAGGGGUCCUACCAGAUUACCAAACCUAACCAAACUCCGAAUACCGUCAACUUCUAUUGUGGGAGUCAGACUACGGGAGAUAAGUUUCGUGGUCGAGAGGGAAACAGCCCAGACCGCCAGCUAAGGUCCCUAAAUAUGCGCUAAGUGGGAAAAGAAGUGGAAAUGCAGAGACAGCCAGGAGGUUGGCUUAGAAGCAGCCACCCUUUAAAGAAAGCGUAACAGCUCACUGGUCAAGUGAUUCUGCGCUGAAAAUAUAACGGGGCUCAAGCGCAUUACCGAAGCUGCGGAUUCUUCGAUUCGUCGAAGGAUGGUAGGGGAGCAUUCCAUUCCGGGUUGAAGCCGGACCGUGAGGACUGGUGGACUGAAUGGAAGAGAUUAUGCUGACAUGAGUAACGAUAAAGCGGGUGAGAAACCCGCUCGCCGUAAGCCUAAGGUUUCCUGAGUAAAGUUAAUCUUCUCAGGGUUAGUCGAUCCCUAAGCCGAGGCCGAAAGGCGUAGGUGAUGGGAAACAGGUUAAUAUUCCUGUACCACCAUACUGGCGUUUGAGUGAUGGGGGGACGCAGGAGGGUAGGCCAGUCGGGUGAUGGAUGUCCCGAUUCAAGCCUGUAGGUGGAGAGGGCAGGCAAAUCCGCUCUCUUUUAACACCGAGAGGUGAUGAGGAUCCGCUUUGCGGAACAAACUGGUUGAUCCCAUGCUGCCAAGAAAAGCCUCUAGCGAGUCAGUAAGGUGAUCGUACCGCAAACCGACACAGGUAGGCGGGGUGAGUAUCCCAAGGCGCUCGAGAGAACUCUGGUCAAGGAACUCGGCAAAUUGACACCGUAACUUAGGGAGAAGGUGUGCCCCCACUAGGUGAAGAAAUUCGCUUUUGGAGCUGAGGGAGGUUGCAGAGAAAUGGGGGUGGCGACUGUUUACUAAAAACACAGGACUCUGCUAAGUCGCAAGACGAUGUAUAGGGUCUGACGCCUGCCCGGUGCUGGAAGGUUAAGGGGACUUGUUAUCUGCCCCUCGGGGUAGAAAAGCUUUGAACCGAAGCCCCAGUAAACGGCGGCCGUAACUAUAACGGUCCUAAGGUAGCGAAAUUCCUUGUCGGGUAAGUUCCGACCUGCACGAAUGGCGUAACGACUUCCCCACUGUCUCAACCAGAGACUCGGUGAAAUUGAAUUAGCGGUGAAGAUGCCGUUUACCCGCGAAAAGACGGAAAGACCCCGUGAACCUUUACUAUAGCUUGACAUUGGACUUUGGGCUAGUAUGUGUAGGAUAGGUGGGAGACUGCGAAAUCUCGACGCCAGUCUGGAGGGAGUCGUCCUUGAAAUACCACCCUUAUUAGUCUAGGGUUCUAACCUUGGCCCGUUAUCCGGGUCGGGGACAGUGUCUGGUGGGUAGUUUGACUGGGGCGGUCGCCUCCCAAAGCGUAACGGAGGCGCGCGAAGGUUCCCUCAGGCUGAUCGGAAACCAGCCGUAGAGUGCAAAGGCAUAAGGGAGCUUGACUGNGAGANAGACAUCUCGAACAGGUACGAAAGUAGGUCUUAGUGAUCCGGCGGUUCCGNAUGGAAGGGCCGUCGCUCAACGGAUAAAAGGUACUCCGGGGAUAACAGGCUUAUCGCCCCCAAGAGUUCACAUCGACGGNGCGGUUUGGCACCUCGAUGUCGGCUCAUCGCAUCCUGGGGCUGGAGCAGGUCCCAAGGGUUUGGCUGUUCGCCAAUUAAAGCGGUACGUGAGCUGGGUUUAGAACGUCGUGAGACAGUUCGGUCCCUAUCUUUCGUGGGCGNAGGAUAUUUGAGAGGAUCUUUCCCUAGUACGAGAGGACCGGGAUGGACGAACCUCUAGUGUGCCAGUUGUCGCGCCAGCGGCAUCGCUGGGUAGCUAUGUUCGGAAUGGAUAACCGCUGAAAGCAUCUAAGCGGGAAGCCAACCUCAAGAUUAGAUAUCCCUCUCCGGAUUCGUCCGGGGACUGAAGACCCCUCGUAGAUGACGAGGUUGAUAGGCCAGAGGUGUAAGUGUGGCAACACAUUUAGCUGACUGGUACUAAUUGGUCGUGCGGCUUGGCCAU
rnacentral:rRNA from 1 species